rnacentral:rRNA from 1 species
GAUGAACGCUGGCGGCGUGCCUAAUACGUGCAAGUCGAGCGAACGGACGAGAAGCUUGCUUCUCUGAUGUUAGCGGCGGACGGGUGAGUAACACGUGGAUAACCUACCUAUAAGACUGGGAUAAAUUCGGGAAACCGGAGCUAAUACCGGGUAAUAUUUUGAACCGCAUGGUUCAAAAGUGAAAGACGGUCUUGCUGUCACUUAUAGAUGGAUCCGCGCUGCAUUAGCUAGUUGGUAAGGUAACGGCUUACCAAGGCAACGAUGCAUAGCCGACCUGAGAGGGUGAUCGGCCACACGGUAACUGAGACACGCUCCAGACUCCUACGGGAGGCAGCAGUAGGGAAUCGUCCGCAAGGGGCGAAAGCCUGACGGAGCAACGCCGCGUGAGUGAUGAAGGUCUUCGGAUCGUAAAACUCUGUUAUUAGGGAAGAACAUAUGUGUAAGUAACUGUGCACAUCUUGACGGUACCUAAUCAGAAAGCCACGGCUAACUACGUG